rnacentral:rRNA from 1 species
CGAACGGGGAGCAGCCCAGAGCCUGAAUCAGUGUGUGUGUUAGUGGAAGCGUCUGGAAAGGCGUGCGAUACAGGGUGACAGCCCCGUACACAAAAAUGCACAUGCUGUGAGCUCGAUGAGUAGGGCGGGACACGUGGUAUCCUGUCUGAAUAUGGGGGGACCAUCCUCCAAGGCUAAAUACUCCUGACUGACCGAUAGUGAACCAGUACCGUGAGGGAAAGGCGAAAAGAACCCCGGCGAGGGGAGUGAAAAAGAACCUGAAACCGUGUACGUACAAGCAGUGGGAGCACAGAGCAAUCUGUGUGACUGCGUACCUUUUGUAUAAUGGGUCAGCGACUUAUAUUCUGUAGCAAGGUUAACCGAAUAGGGGAGCCGAAGGGAAACCGAGUCUUAACUGGGCGUUAAGUUGCAGGGUAUAGACCCGAAACCCGGUGAUCUAGCCAUGGGCAGGUUGAAGGUUGGGUAACACUAACUGGAGGACCGAACCGACUAAUGUUGAAAAAUUAGCGGAUGACUUGUGGCUGGGGGUGAAAGGCCAAUCAAACCGGGAGAUAGCUGGUUCUCCCCGAAAGCUAUUUAGGUAGCGCCUCGUGAAUUCAUCUCCGGGGGUAGAGCACUGUUUCGGCAAGGGGGUCAUCCCGACUUACCAACCCGAUGCAAACUGCGAAUACCGGAGAAUGUUAUCACGGGAGACACACGGCGGGUGCUAACGUCCGUCGUGAAGA